rnacentral:misc_RNA from 1 species
GCACAAACUCAAAUCCACAUACUUUUCCCGCUUUUCCAUAGCUUCACACCUUAGAUCCCACCACUCCUGAAAUCGCCAGUGACCCGGCCUCAUCCGCCUGUUUUAUCACUGACUCCGCCGGCACCGAUGAGCCGAAAUUCUUCCAAAAUGUUAACUGGACGGGAGAGCUUGAUCCGAUUGGUCGGGAAGCGAAGGCGAUUCCUUCCCAAUCGUCAAUCUUUACUUGCCAUCGCCAUCCAGGGCUCUCUUAAUCUGUGUACCGAUAAUGAUAGAGUUAUUUCCACGGAGAGUGAGAGGAGAUUUUCACAGAGUAAAAUGGCUGGUUUGACUUCGGGGGAAGAUGAGAAAAGUCCGCUUGAAAUAUCAAUUCGUGAUUGGGUAACGUGCCCUGUUUGCGGGAGUAGAGUGCGUGGGGAAGACUGUUUGAUUAAUUCCCAUUUGGAUGCAUGCCUUUCUAGUGGAAAAAAGCGAAAAAUGACCCAACGCACCCUUCUCGAGUUGAACUUCUGCUCACAAACGAGCAGUCUUGUGCAGAAUGCUGUAAUCAACUCUGAGAACUCUGUUGCUGUUGAGGAAAAUGACAGUAAUCUGUGUAAAUUACUGUGGACUACAAAGUCUGUUCCUGUUAAAAAUGGGAUGGCUAGUUCAACUGGGAAACCAACAAAUGGGGAUAGGAUCAACUUGGCAGUUGGGCCCUCUUCAUUGCCCCUGAAGGAUGGGGUGUCCACAUGUGAUACAAUGACAACUGUAGAUGACAUAUCAGGGGUAAUUCUUAAAACUUCCAUUGUUGGCCGUAGGUUUAGUAUUGUGAAGGAUUUAAAUCAAGGGGCAAAAAUCUCCCUUUUGAGAGACCCAGAUAAUGCUAAGGAUCCAAAUGCAAUCAAGGUUCUUCUGGCAGAUUACACACCAUGUAAAGUUCUUGGUUUUCUCCCUCGAGAGUUAGCCCGACAUUUGUCCCCUUUAAUUGAGAAGUACUUUCUAAUCUUUGAGGGACAUGUGACAUCUGUUCCAAAACUUUCUCUUGAUGCUGUUCCAAUUCAAAUUGUGUGUUGCAAAAAAGUGAUAUCGCAUGGUGAUAGGGAUCAUAGUGAUGUUAAAGCUUUCACAUCUUUAUGGAAAAAUGUUCUUCAUGCAGUUGAAUCUGCAAAGAAUUGUGCAAGUAGUGCAACAAAAUAUCAGCAGAACUUUUGUAUGUUAAUGCAAGAGGUUUUGAGAAGCAAUCAUCACAUUUUCACUGAUGAUGAGAAAAAUUUCAUGGAAUCAUUUACUUCUCUUUCAGAUGAUAGUCAGAGGCUUUUUGUUCGGCUUUAUACACGGAAAGGACCAUGGUUUCGGGUGUCUAGUAUUUCGUACCCUGAAGUUUCAGAUUCUGAGCAGGCAAUCAAUGAUCUUUCUGCAAUAGGUUAUAUUUGUUCCUUUGCAGAUCCAAAAGAAUUACAAAACCAUGACAUGAAAGAGAUUUUGAAUUUGCUCACCAUCUCUAAGCUGCGUGAAAUUACAUACUUAUUGAAGAAGAAUAGCAGCCCUGGUACUAGAAAGCAGGAUCUUAUUGCAACACUUUUAUCUACCUAUAAGGAUAAAAAGUGCUUAUCCCUACCAAUUGCAAUUUUUGAUAGAACAGGAAUGUGUAUCAAGAUAUCUUCAAAAGCUGAAUCUCUUAUUUGGCGUGUUGAGAGACUUUUCUUCUUGAAUGGAGAGCAGGAUCUAUCAGCAUUUCUGCUAGUUGAUUUGGGAAUAGUUAAGUAUCCAACUUAUUGCUGCAAUAUGUCUGAACAGAUUUUCUCAACUCGAAGUGAUCUACUAGCUUACGAAGAGGCAAUUGAAGUGGCACAAAUAAUGGAUGAAUCUCUUGAAGAAAAUAAUAAUGAAUUGGUUUUAAGAUGCAUUGAGAUAGCCGACUCCCGUAUGUCCAACUCUACUGCAAAAGCAACUCAAUCCAUGGCUAUAUUUCUUUCACGUUUUUCAGCAUCGUGGGUAUACUCAAAAGUGGUCUUUCUAGGAAUUUCCUUUCUUGAGCGUGAGCGUAGGUACAAAGAUGCAGUCAAUUUGUUGAAGCAAUUGCUUGCUUGUUUUCCUUGUGAUGGAAGGAGAGGUUAUUGGACACUAAGAUUGUCUAUUGAUUUGGAGCACAUGGGCUGUUCCAAUGAGAGCCUUUCAGUUGCUGAAGAUGGUUUAUUGGAUCCAUGGGUACGUGCUGGUUCAAGAAUGGCAUUGCAAAGGCGAGUUCUUCGCCUAGGAAAACCUCCAAGGCGUUGGAAAGCUCCUAGUUUUGUGGGUUCUAUCAGGAGGAGGAUCAAGGAGGUUCAUAUUCUGGGGAGACCUUUGAACUGUGAAAUCGGCAAGAAAAGCAGGUUCUAUGGAGAAAAUGGGGAGCAGUGUGGAGUCGAGCAGCUUGCUUUGCAGUAUUAUGCUGGCGAAGGAGGUGGAUGGCAUGGUGUUCAUGCUGAGAGUGGCAUUUGGCUGACAAUUUUUGGGCUUCUUAUGUGGGACGUUAUAUUUUCUGAUGUACCAAAUGUCUUUCGCAACAGAUUUCAGACUGCUCCCUUGGAUUUGGAGACUGAUGGCUUCUAUCCAGUAAGAAAGAGCCUUAUAGAAACUCACUUGCAGAAAAUUCAAGAUGGUAUGGCUGAGGAGAUUGUCAUUACAUCAUGGGAAUUGCAUUCAGGAACAGCUUGUCUUGGAGUUAACUGGGGCGGGCAUUCUCUCUCUGAACUUCGGGCUGUUGUUACCUGCAUUGGAGGCCCUUGUUUGGCCUCACUCUGCCGGCAUCUUGCCCAAGAUUAUCGAAGCUGGUCCAGUGGAAUGCCAGAUUUGUUGCUAUGGCGCUUCCAUGGAGAAUACAGAGGUGAAGCCAAGCUAGUUGAAGUCAAAGGUCCCAAAGAUCGUCUCUCUGAGCAGCAGCAAGCAUGGUUAUUGCUGUUAAUGGAUUGUGGGUUCGAUACUGAAGUUUGUAAAGUUAAACCUAUGCCAUCAGUCUCAUGAUGUCAUGUUGCUACACAUGGUAUCGAAAUAUAGAGGCUUGACUUUGGACUCCUGUAUGAAUCCAACAACUAAGAGAACUCUAAGCCCAAGAGCUUCAAGAAGCUUAGUAUUAAAAGAGUUCCAAUUCCUAAACAGCCUUGGAAGAGGAUAAAAUGCUGAUUCUUCAUGUCAAGGGUUCUACCAUGAAGUGCCAUUUAGCUCAAGCGUCUCAUACAUGAUUCUUGCAGGUAAACUACAAGCUCUUAAAGUACCUGCUACUCUUCUGGAGAUGACAGUGCACGUCAUACUCCCUGACAUCAGUAUCUUGACUCUAUUCAUGUGAUGGUAUCAAAAUAACUGCUUUUAUUUUUUUUUCCCCUCUAAAUGAGGCUGAGACACAGUAAGAGUAACAUCACCUCCAAAUUGACGUUGCUUCCACCAUUGUGGUUCAACGUUUAUAUAUUUUUUUUUCUAGUAAAACACUACUUUUGACCCCUUGAUUUGCAUAAGUCACUUUUCUUGCUUAGCUUUGGAUCAAGUAGCAAAAAACCAUCAACCAUGUGUUAAGGUGAUCCUUUUGUAAAUGGAUGCUCUUUUUACACUUGUAGUCUCUGAAGGAUGAGAACCAACUAUGUAAUUUUUACAUUGAGAAUUUAAGUAUUGUAUAAGUCAUUUGUUCGAUAUUUUGUAGGACCUACUCAUAAUUUUUGAGAUAUCAAUUCUUUUCUUAUUAUACUACUU